rnacentral:rRNA from 1 species
UACGUAGGUGGCAAGCGUUGUCCGGAUUUACUGGGCGUAAAGGGCGCGUAGGCGGCCCGGCAAGUCAUGCGUGAAAGCUCCCGGCUCAACUGGGAGGGGUCGUGUGAGACUGCCGAGCUCGAGCAAGGUAGGGGGCAGUGGAAUUCCCGGUGUAGUGGUGGAAUGCGUAGAGAUCGGGAGGAACACCAGUGGCGAAGGCGGCUGCCUGGACCUUUGCUGACGCUGAGGCGCGAAGGCGUGGGGAGCGAGUCCGG